rnacentral:rRNA from 1 species
RGCGGGAAAGGGUAAUUUGCGCGCCUGAGGUAUUCCKUGGAUGUGGGACCCGUUUCUCAGGCUCCCUCUCCGGAAUCGAACCCUGAUUCCCCGUUACCCGUAAGAACCUCGRUAGGCGAAUACCGUAACGACGAAAGUGAUAGGGCAGACACUUGAAUGAUCCGU